CUCGUAGGUGGUUUGUCGCGUUGUUCGUGAAAUCUCACGGCUUAACUGUGAGCGUGCGGGCGAUACGGGCAGACUUGAGUACUGCAGGGGAGACUGGAAUUCCUGGUGUAGCGGUGGAAUGCGCAGAUAUCAGGAGGAACACCGGUGGCGAAGGCGGGUCUCUGGGCAGUAACUGACGCUGAGGAGCGAAAGCGUGGGGAGCGAACAGGAUUAGAUACCCUGGUAGUCCACGCCGUAAACGGUGGGUACUAGGUGUGGGUUUCCUUCCUUGGGAUCCGUGCCGUAGCUAACGCAUUAAGUACCCCGCCUGGGGAGUACGGCCGCAAGGCUAAAACUCAAAGAAAUUGACGGGGGCCCGCACAAGCGGCGGAGCAUGUGGAUUAAUUCGAUGCAACGCGAAGAACCUUACCUGGGCUUGACAUGCACAGGACGCCGGCAGAGAUGUCGGUUCCCUUGUGGCCUGUGUGCAGGUGGUGCAUGGCUGUCGUCAGCUCGUGUCGUGAGAUGUUGGGUUAAGUCCCGCAACGAGCGCAACCCUUGUCUCAUGUUGCCAGCGGGUAAUGCCGGGGACUCGUGAGAGACUGCCGGGGUCAACUCGGAGGAAGGUGGGGAUGACGUCAAGUCAUCAUGCCCCUUAUGUCCAGGGCUUCACACAUGCUACAAUGGCCGGUACAAAGGGCUGCGAUGCCGCGAGGUUAAGCGAAUCCUUUUAAAGCCGGUCUCAGUUCGGAUCGGGGUCUGCAACUCGACCCCGUGAAGUCGGAGUCGCUAG
rnacentral:rRNA from 1 species